rnacentral:rRNA from 1 species
UACGGAGGGUGCGAGCGUUGUUCGGAAUCACUGGGCGUAAAGCGCGUGUAGGCGGUCCGGUAAGUCCGCUGUGAAAGUCGGGGGCUCAACCCUCGGAUGCCGGUGGAUACUGUCGGGCUUGAGUACGGAAGAGGCGAGUGGAAUUCCUGGUGUAGCGGUGAAAUGCGCAGAUAUCAGGAGGAACACCAAUUGCGAAGGCAGCUCGCUGGGACGUUACUGACGCUGAGACGCGAAAGCGUGGGGAGCAAACAGG